CCCUUAGACGUUCUGGGCCGCACGCGCGCUACACUGACCAGUGCAACAAGCAUCCGUCCUUGGCCGACAGGCUCGGGCAAUCUUUGAACGCUGGUCGUGAUGGGGAUAGACUUUUGCAAUUUUUGGUCUUCAACGAGGAAUUCCUAGUAAACGCAAGUCAUCAACUUGCAUUGAUUACGUCCCUGCCCUUUGUACACACCGCCCGUCACACCUACCGAUUGAAUGGUCCGGUGAAGCCUCCGGAUUGGCGCGCACCCCGGUGCCGCCGAGAAGUUGGCUAAACCUUACCAUUUAGAGGAAGGUGAAGUCGUAACA
rnacentral:rRNA from 1 species